AUAUUAAAUUAUUGCUAAUGGAUGAAAUAUAAUUAAUCUUCAUGCAUCCUUCUCAGCUCCUUAGAAGAUGUGUGCACCUGCCUUCUCAAAUUUCCAGGCAUUCAGUCAGAAUGGUGGGCAUGAGUGGUGUUCUUAAAAGGAAGUCCAGUCUCUGGUCAGGAGCAUGUUUAAAUCACAGGUCACAUGGGCUGCUUUUUGCCUUUCCCUUCCGUCAGAGUUGAGUGCAAGGGUCCUGACAGAGAGUGCAGAUCUGAGACCUGCAAUGAACGCUUCUGGAAGAUGCAUGUGCUUGAAGACAAGGGCCCACUGUCUGCACUGUCCUGGCCACCAGAGCCAUAUCCUUGGUACCCAGACUGCCCUGUACCUAACAUCUAUCUGAUCAGUCAGCUCCAUGCUGUGCCAGUUAAGUAUAUUGACUAUCACCCCUGGUUAAGAGCAUGGGCUUUGGGAUUGGAAAAACCUAGAUCUAAAUCCCAGCCCUUGUACUAA
rnacentral:lncRNA from 1 species